UAUUUAUUUUUUAAGUUUUAUUUGUUUUUUUAAAAAGACAUCCCGAUUGUUUUCAAACGCGCAGCCCUCACCUCCCGGCCUCCAUCUCUCUCUCUUCCCCAGUCUCCUUGUCAGUCCCCUCAAACCCGUCUCUCUCCGCGCCGUUGUAAUAAAAAAACGCCAUUACAGUAAUUCCUACCUUGGCACAAAAUUCCCUCCAAAUCAGUUUGAAGGAAUCUCCUCCAACACGUGGAGAUUAAGUAGACUCCAAGAAUAGCACAAUUGAUUGGAGACCUCACCUUCAUGAAGCGAAGGUCACUAAAAGUGGGGAGUAAGGGGACGCAAGUACAAUGCCCAAACUGUGAUUUGAUAACAAAAACACUUUCUUCAGGUGAUUGAGAACAUUAAUUUUGGAGGCUGGCGAAGAAGUUGCAAUGGGCACUAAAGAGACGCCACACAAAAUUGGCCUUCCACAAAUUGUUAAGUUGGAUAUGGGAUUGAAAUUGUUUUGGUCCCUAGGGGAAGUGGUAGGGAAGACUCGAAUUAGUGACCUUCGCUUCAUGAGGCAAAGUCUCCAGUCAAUUGUGCUAUCCUUGGAGUCUACUUAAUCUCCAUGUGUUGGAGGAAAUUCCUUCAAACCAAUUUGGAGGGAAUUUUGUGCCAAGGCUGAACAAUGGGUUAAUAAAAUGACUAAAGCUGCAGAGAAUGAACAGCCAGAAGUAGAAUCAGAGGGUCAACCUUAUAGGCUUGGAUUGGGUGCGAAGCUCUCACGCCAACCUAAACACGGGCCUUCAAACGACCCACUUGAAAAGAAACUACGUGCUAAGUUAAACACUGGAAAAAGAAAAGCUGCUAUUAGUGCCAAGGAAUAUACUCAAUCUGCUAGAGAUGGAGGUGAUAAUGAGGAUGACGAUGAUGGGGAUUUAGACAGCAGAACAAGUGCAUUUGACAAGAAGCGAGCAAGAGCUCCUAUGACUGUAUGUUCACAGGCAAAUAAAAAACACAAGUAACUAUUUUUCUGUGUUUGUGGAGUCCUUGAGGGUUGUCUUUUUUGUUAUCUGUCACAUAUACUUUUUUUUUUUUGGAAUGUCACAUAUACUCUUCCUGUGGAAGAUUUGACUCCAUUGAGUUAAUUUUAUAUAAAAUAUUCAUGAGUGUUAACAA